CCUACGGGAGGCAGCAGUGGGGAAUCUUGCGCAAUGGGCGAAAGCCUGACGCAGCCAUGCCGCGUGAAUGAUGAAGGUCUUAGGAUUGUAAAAUUCUUUCACCGGGGACGAUAAUGACGGUACCCGGAGAAGAAGCCCCGGCUAACUUCGUGCCAGCAGCCGCGGUAAUACGAAGGGGGCUAGCGUUGCUCGGAAUUACUGGGCGUAAAGGGAGCGUAGGCGGAUAGUUUAGUCAGAGGUGAAAGCCCAGGGCUCAACCUUGGAAUUGCCUUUGAUACUGGCUAUCUUGAGUAUGGGAGAGGUAUGCGGAACUCCGAGUGUAGAGGUGAAAUUCGUAGAUAUUCGGAAGAACACCAGUGGCGAAGGCGGCAUACUGGCCCAUUACUGACGCUGAGGCUCGAAAGCGUGGGGAGCAAACAGGAUUAGAUACCCUGGUAGUCCACGCUGUAAACGAUGAGUGCUAGUUGUCGGCAUGCAUGCACGUCGGUGACGCGAGACGUACGACAUAAGUACACUCCGCCGUCGGGGAGGUACGGUACGGCGAAGAAGUUAAACGUAACGAAAGGAAGUUAGUACGGCGUGAGACGUACGACCGACGGACGACGACGAGGGAGGAGG
rnacentral:rRNA from 1 species